rnacentral:rRNA from 1 species
AUGCUGCAAAAGAGCGAUGAGAGUAAACAUGGGAGGAAUGUUUUGAAGGAGCAAAGCAGGAAGAGGUCAAGGGCUUACAUGGGAACAACCCAAGAAUGUUUGAAUAAAGGAAGAGCAAGUGCGUAUAGCAGAUUUAGCAUAGGGUGUUCUUCCAAGAUAGUCGACAGUGUUUGCAAAAGCAAUUACAGAAUGGAGCUUGUGAAGAACUCUGGAUUCGGAUACAUGCUUGUGAAGAACUCUGGAUUCAAGCAAUUUUUCCAAGUCCUACAUCUGGUCCCAAGCUUUUUUUACAACAAACAAACAAAUUAA